UCCAGGUCACUGCUGAUGUGAAGAUGAG
rnacentral:piRNA from 1 species